ACUUCACCAAAUUAUGUAAAGGAUUAAACAUAAGCUGGUCUAAAGACACCUAAAUCAAUCACACUGAUUCACCUUAAUGGCAUGGGUCUGCACCAAUCAACUAGUAAUCUAAUUAAAACAUAAUCUACCAUGUUGGCCAGGCAAGUGAGAUCAGCAGGAGGGAUUUGUCCUUAACUCAUCGUAGAUGCAUCUAGGUGAAUAGCUCUCAAUUAAAAAUCAUCUGAUCGA
rnacentral:lncRNA from 1 species